UUCAGAUGGUAAAUGAAUGUCAUCUUGAAAUUGCUCAUUCCUUAAAUGAAGUUUACCAAUCUAAGGAUCAUGAAUUUAAGAUAGUUUUGCUACUUGCUAGUGUUUAAUCCUUAUUAUCCAGGCAUUCCCAAUCCGUGUGAUGAACAAUUGGAAAACUAACAGAGAGUGGGAAAAAUGUAAUUUGUGAAUCAUCAGCCAUUUUUCUACUAAAUCCCUAUAAAGAAAAGAAGUGUUUAUAAGACAUGGAAGUAUAUAUUUUUAUUUCGACAUUUUGCUUUAGUUAAAACUCAUUUAGUGUGAGGUAAAAAAAAAGGUUUUAUUGAUUAGAUAUAAAUAUGUCUUGAAUGAGGAGAGGGACAAAGAAAAAUAUUCCAGUGAAAUUGAAAAUCGAUGAUUGGAAACUUGCCAAAGCACGUCUUCGGUAUGGGAUAGCUAUGAAAAGGAAAGAAAUGAUUUUCUAAAUUGUACUUACUUGCUAUCAUGAUGAUAAGAUAAUUCCAGAAUAUUAUUGUGGAAAUAGGGAAUUAAAUAAUAAAGUUGCUAAUUUCAAUUUACUUUUGAUCAUUUUAUUUCGCUUUUGAACAUUUCUGAAGAUCUUAAGAUUUAUUGUUAGUAUUAUCAGGAUGCUUUACUGAUGAUUUUCAGGUUAUUAAAUAGAACUUUAAAAUGUUUUUGAUUACAUUUAUGAUAGAGUUUUUUGAUGAGGUAUUUUGGUUUUUAGGAGCUGUUUUCAGGAGAUAAGGGGAAAGCGUUAUUUAGCCUACGUUGAUUAUGGAAUAAAGUAUGUUGGCUGCAUCAUCCGUGAAAUGCAUUUUACUGUAAAUUGCAUUUUUAUUUCAAAAUAUUAUAUCGUAGUUUUUAAAGAAAAAUUUAUUUAAUUAGAGGGAUUAAGUAAUUUUAUUGUUAUUAUUACUGCAAAAUUUGCGAUAUAGCAAAUUUUUUGUCCGGUUAACAUAUUGUGGUAAAUGCGGAUUUUACGAUAAACGUGCCGGUGCUUUUUAUCAUAAUUUGAUCCAGAAUUUUUACAGUGUAGAGCAAUUGUUUAACAAAUGUUACAAUUCCCACUUAGUAUAGUAUGUUUUUAUUGAAGAAAAGCUUAAUUGCAUUCGUUAAUUUAGCUAUUAUUUCAGAAUAGAAACUAAAUUU